CAUCAACUUGCUUGUCGUGCUGGAGUGGAUAGCAUAUAACGGACACUCUCGGCUUAUGCUCUAAGCCAAAGGUAGAUAUAUUUGGGUUUGGAUUCCCAAAGCACAUCCCAAUCAGGCUAUGCAAAAUGGAGCGGCCCACAAUUUCGUGGAGAUGGUCUUGCGCGCUCGUCAUCAACAGCACUAGGUCCAGUGGGCCAAUCAGGCUGAAUGGCAUCAUCCAGCUGUGACUGGGGUGUAGGAGUCGCCACCUGCUGUUGCGCCGACUCGAGCUAGUACUCGCAUGAGCUCGCUGGAAUUGCUAUGUGCAUCCACAAAGUCCGAAAGAACAAGCUGGAAAGGGGUCUGGGAUCGUGCAACGGCGAGGGAAUUGUAUAAGCACAGAACUGUGUCACACCCUGUACGAUACAGGAGCGUACCUCGUUUCUUACUGGUACCAUAUGACCCAUGGCUGAGAUGAGCGCCAAGCUUCGAAAUAAGGCUGGACAGUAGCCACCAGUUGUUGUAGUCGAUGGAUGGUGAAGAAGAGGUGAAGAAAUCAGCAGCCGUUGCCAG